rnacentral:rRNA from 1 species
UACGUAGGAUGCAAGCGUUAUCCGGAAUGAUUGGGCGUAAAGCGUCUGCAGGUGGCAGUUCAAGUCUGCUGUCAAAGACCGGGGCUUAACUUCGGAAAGGCAGUGGAAACUGAACAGCUAGAGUAUGGUAGGGGCAGAGGGAAUUCCUGGUGUAGCGGUGAAAUGCGUAGAGAUCAGGAAGAACAUCGGUGGCGAAGGCGCUCUGCUGGACCAUAACUGACACUCAGGGGCGAAAGCUAGGGGAGCGAAUGGG